GUAGGUUUUACAGGAAGAGCAGACUGUGCAGCUAAGUCAUGAUGACUGCCAUGGCUCAAGAUCAUUGCCCUGGUGGAAGUAGAACCUCCGCUCCAGACCUCCUUACAUGUCUCUGCUGAAGAAAAACAUCCCCACAGCCUGAUGCUGCCACCAUCAUGCUUCAUUAGGGUAUCCGUCUGUCUCCAGCCACCAGAAUCACAUCACACAGCUGCCUGGUCUUCAGGUAGCCCUCCAUCUUGCGGAAGGUGACAUCAGCAUGAGACAAUGCAGUAAACAUGGACUCCUCCGGACAGGCG